UACAUAACCACGCACUAGCAGCCGUGCCAUGGAAGGUUCUCUAUGUGCUUGCUUCUUCCCUUCCCAAGACGCUGUUGCUCCGACCCCAUGGAUAAUGUGCAGGACAGAGCCGCCAUAUGGUGUGCACGGUGAUUCUUUUUCCACUCUAAUGCCUUCCGCGCUACGUGUCCGAUGGACCCGAUUUUACUUCCACUCCGACAUAGCUAAUGGAUAUAAUGGCAGAAGGUAUCAAAUCGAAGAUGUUAUGGCUUUUCUUCAUGGCAUGCAUGGUCGACCUACUUUCAUCAUAUGGAAGUUGUUGUUGGUUCGAUGAACAAAGACUUGGUAUGUUCCAUAGUGUUUUAUAUAGUGACCAGACAUGAGUCUCUUAUGAACUUAGCCCGUAUUUUGUAACAUGUCACAACUUGUAUGUCGACCUAUGUAUUUCCUUAGUGGUUGUAGCUAACUUGAGUGAAGAAAAUUAAUGAAUCUUCUA
rnacentral:rRNA from 1 species